rnacentral:tRNA from 1 species
GACUUUGUGGUACAAUGGUAGUGCAGCUGACUCCAGAUCAGAAGGUUCAUUGUUCAAAUCACUUCUAGAUCA